CCCUUAGAUGUCCUGGGCGGCCCGCGCGCUACAAUGUCAGCUACUGAAGGUUAAUGCUUUGAAAGAGAGCGCGCUCUCCUUUUAAUUGCUCGCAUGCUGGGAUAAAUGAAUGCAAUUUUGUUUUGAACGAGGAAUUCCUAGUAACCAUGUUUCACUAGAAGAUGGCGAAUGCGUCCCUGCCCUUUGUACACACCGCCCGUCGCUCCUACCGAUGAGCGUUUUGGCGAAGACGGUUUGAGUAGCUGCGUAAUUUCGUGUUGUUGACUCCGGCAGUUUGAGCCUUCACGUUUAGAGGAAGGAGAAGUCGUAACA
rnacentral:rRNA from 1 species